rnacentral:lncRNA from 1 species
AAAUGCAAAAUCUAAAACAGCAAAUGAGCCCUGAGAGAGUCACCUAAUCCUGGCAUCCAAUUUUUAUUCCACAGACAUUAAAACCAAUCUCCCAAGAAGCAGCAGCAUCAGAAAUUUACCGCCCUCGAGUAAAACUUACCAUAUACUUCCUGUUUCUCUGGAUAAAAAUCUAGAGGAAGAAAUCAUCUCUAUUAUUCACAUAAGCUCACAAUCAUCCAGGUCAUCAAAAC